GAGGCUAGUCAGGGGCAUUAGGAGGUCUUAAUCAGUCCUUAAUUAGCCCUCUCUGGGCCCUGAUAAGGCAUUUAAAGAGCACCUAGGCCCCCUGCUGUGUGCUUGAAUGAUCUGUGUAGUAUUUUAACAGGGGAAAGGAAACAGCUGUGAUAGCCAUGGCUAUAGGGAAAGGUGUGUCUUCUUCCUUUCCUGGGGCUGUUUCUGUCCCAGUGUAUGAGAGGUUAUAAGCAGUAUCUGUGUUCCUUGUCUUGGACAUGGAUGAUCUGGGUAGAAUUAUAAAGCUAAAAAGGAAGCAGCUGUGAGGGUGAUAACUCCAGGGGGGAAGGAACUGGUGAAGCAGUUCUAUCUUCUGGCAUGGACAGGUUUCCCUGCCCGCGCUGGUGUAACAGGUUUGCCUUGUUCCCCUCCCAGCUCUUUGUGCAAAAGGAAAUUCCACAGCGAAUUUACCUCAGAUGAUACUAGCGCUUUCUGUUUGGUCUCUUACGUUCUUUUUACUCACAUAGUUACGGAUUAAGCUCUAAAGUCGUGAUGUAACUGUGUUGUCUGGCUUUGCAACGUGUUCUGGGUGGACGUGGCUCUGAGGAUAGAGGGCUUUGGUGCCCCUUCUCCAAAAGCCAUGCACUGUUCCUUGGAACACUGUGGUUGUGCUUUAGGCAGUGUGGCAGGCUCAGACAUUUAAAUGUGUUGUUAGCAGCAGGAAGGAGCACUCUGAAAUGAGUUGAACAGCGUUGUCUCUUAGUUGUUAUGAAGUCUGCUCUUAAAAGUAAUAACUUCUAAUGAUGAACAAAAGCAUUGCCUGUUCCCCGUCUCUCUUCAAAGGCAGCUGCGUGAAGAGCAGCAUUCUACUCAGGUUCAAAUCGGUUGAGCCAGGUUAAAAAUACAUACAGUUCUGUUAUUAACAUAA